UCUUCUGACAGGGAACUGAUGUCCUCUCUGCAUUCUCAGGCCAGCUACGGCACAGGCAGCAGCGGUGCAAGAUUCCCCGCACUGCGCUGCCAACCUGCCUCACAGCAAUACUGACCAUCCUGAGCAGGGAAAGGAUCUUUGAGAGUGAGACUGGGACCGCAGGCUCAGCCUUGCACAAGGUGCGGUGUGUAGG
rnacentral:sRNA from 1 species